AGCGAACGCUGGCGGCAGGCCUAACACAUGCAAGUCGAACGAACCUUUCGGGGUUAGUGGCGGACGGGUGAGUAACACGUGGGAACGUGCCUUUAGGUUCGGAAUAACUCAGGUAAACUUGUGCUAAUACCGAAUGUGCCCUUCGGGGGAAAGAUUUAUCGCCUUUAGAGCGGCCCGCGUCUGUUUAGCUAGUUGGUUGAGGUAAUGGCUCACCAAGGCGACGAUCAGUAGCUGGUCUGAGAGGAUGAUCAGCCACAUUGGGACUGAGACACGGCCCAAACUCCUACGGGAGGCAGCAGUGGGGAAUCUUGCGCAAUGGGCGAAAGCCUGACGCAGCCAUGCCGCGUGAAUGAUGAAGGUCUUAGGAUAGUAAAAUUCUUUCACCGGGGACGAUAAUGACGGUACCCGGAGAAGAAGCCCCGGCUAACUUCGUG
rnacentral:rRNA from 1 species